AAUUAAUAAACCUUAAUUAAACUUUUACUUUAAUUAUAUCUUA
rnacentral:tRNA from 1 species